AGCUAAAUGGUCAAAGAAGAACCUUGUUGGUGGUGUUGUUCUUAUACCAUUCAGGGACAGAGCAGAUAGCCUCCUUUGUUCAUUCUAUCUUGAUGCCUGGCUUGGUGGCCAAAGCUGUGUUCUGCCUAGGACACGUGU
ensembl:snoRNA LOC120095442 small nucleolar RNA SNORA48